UUGUGCCUGUAGGCUAGCCUUGGGGGAGGGGGGUGUCUUUUAUAAACUAAUGAUUGAUGCGGGAAGGUCCAGCCCACUGUGGAUGGUAGCACUCCUAGGCGAGAGGCACUGAGUUAUAUAAGAAUGCCACCUGAGGAAGCUAUGGGGAACAGGCCAGUAAGAAGCAUUCCUCCACAGCCUCUGCUUCGGUUCCUGCCUACAGGUACCUGCCCUGAGUUCCUGACCUGAGUUCCCUUCAAGAUGAAUCCAUGAUGGAGAUUUUAUGUAUAUGAGUGUUCCGUCUUCAGGCACACCAGAAGAGGGAGUCAAAAUCCAUUACAGAUCGUUGUUGCUGGGAAUUGAACUCAGGACCUCUGGAAGAGCAGCCACUGCCCUUAACCUCUGAGCCAUCUCUCCAGCCCCUACUAGGCCAUUUUAAACGAAGCAAAUGAGCAUCUUUUGAUUUUUGGUAUCCUAAAACCAAUGUUCCUCGGUACUGAAGGGCAAUUGCAUUCUAGAGAAAAGCAGGGAAAUUCGAUACACAACUUUGAAUUGUGUGGGUCAAGAAGAUACAGCUGGUCUGUGUGUGGGCUGCUGUAGGAAUGUACUUCAAAGCAGGUGACCCAAGUGUCAGGAAUGUAUGGUGUCACGGACGUCAAAAAACCAAGGUGAUGGUUGGGUUUGUUCCAACUGAAGACUGUGAUGGAGAAUGGUUUCAUGUCUCCUAUACUCGGGUAGCCUUGGGAUCUCCUUGGAUAGAGAGGACAGGCACAGGCCUGGUUACUCAUAACUUCUUUCCCUUUGUCUCCAUGUUCACAGUCCCUCCUUACAUUCCUACGUUCACCGGUCCUCACAGAUUGGAGUCCACUCGAUUGGUUUCGUUUUAAUCUGAUGAUCCGUAAAGAUCUGACUUCCAAGCAGGGUCAUAAUCACAGAUACCGGGAGCAAAGCUUAAAAUAUCUGUUGAGGUCAGAAGGAUUUUUUAAGAGCUAGAGGACCAGGACACCUACAAGACAGCAUCUUCUACAUGGGACGGAGAAGCUGCACCCGUAGCUGCCCCAGGAAAGCCAUGUAGGAGAGAAACGCAAGCACGACCUGGAGCCUGCCUCUCGCACUGAGCUUCUGAGAAGCGCGGCAUGCUGGGCGCCUGAAGUCCGAAUUAAGACGUGGAGUCUGCGUUCUCCGAGUUUCCUCUACUGUGCUUCCUCGCGGAGACCCAGGAGACCCUAUCAGCGCUUACUAUCCAGCCAAGGCGAUGUGCUAACCAAUCACAGCCCAUAGGCGUCCCCUGUGUAAGUAACUGUUCACAGGCACUAGAACAGAGGCUGUUCCCUGAAA